AGCAGCCGCGGUAAUUCCAGCUCCAAUAGCGUAUAUUAAAGUUGUUGCAGUUAAAAAGCUCGUAGUUGAAUUUCGGAAUCAAUGGAUCGGUCAUGCCACUCGGUGUGUACUGGUUUGAUUGGUUCUCACCUUCUAAGGAACCGUGAUGUCAUUAAUUUGGUGUCGCGGGGAAUUAGGACUGUUACUUUGAAAAAUUAGAGUGUUUAAAGCAAGCUCACGCUUGAAUACAUUAGCAUGGAAUAAUGAAAUAGGACAUUGUAUUCUAUUUUGUUGGUUUCUAGGAUCGAUGUAAUGAUUAAUAGGGAUAGUUGGGGGCAUUAGUAUUCAAUUGUCAGAGGUGAAAUUCUUGGAUUUAUUGAAGACUAACUACUGCGAAAGCAUUUGCCAAGGAUGUUUUCAUUAAUCAAGAACGAAAGUUAGGGGAUCGAGGACGAUCAGAUACCGUCGUAGUCUUAACCAUAAACUAUGCCGACUAGGAAUCGGAUGAUGUUAAUUUUUAAUGACUCU
rnacentral:misc_RNA from 1 species